rnacentral:rRNA from 1 species
CAGUCGCCGCGGUAAUACGUAGGUCCCGAGCGUUGCCCGGAUUUAUUGGGCGUAAAGCGAGCGCAGGCGGUUAGAUAAGUCUGAAGUUAAAGGCUGUGGCUUAACCAUAGUACGCUUUGGAAACUGUUUAACUUGAGUGCAAGAGGGGAGAGUGGAAUUCCAUGUGUAGCGGUGAAAUGCGUAGAUAUAUGGAGGAACACCGGUGGCGAAAGCGGCUCUCUGGCUUGUAACUGACGCUGAGGCUCGAAAGCGUGGGGAGCAAACAGGAUUAGAUACCUCUGUAGUCCCUGUCUCUUAUACA